GCUGGUAUAUUAGAUGGAUAAUAAAGUACCACAGAACUUAGUGGCUGAAAAGAACAAGCAUUAAUUAUCUCAUGGUUUCUGUAGGUCAGGGGUUGGGAGUGGUAUAAGCCAAAUGGCUCCGGCUCAAGGUCUCUCACUGGAUUUCAGUCGGGAUGUUAGCAAGGACUCUGAAGGUCUGACUGGUCUUUCAUGAUGGUUCACCCAUGUGGCUGUAGGCGGGAGGCCUCAGUUCCUUGUUAUUGGGUUCUCCACAGCGGAUCGAGUGUCCUCACAACAUGGCAGCUGACGUCCUCUAAAGGAGCCCAAAGAGCAAGUGAGGCAUGCCCUUUAUGACCUCAUCUCCGAAGUGCACCUUGUCAAUUCCACUUACUCUCCCUAUUAGAAGUGAGUUACUGGAGUUCCCGUUGUGGCUCAGUGGUUAACGAAUUCGACUAGGAACCAUGAGGUUGCGGGUUCGAUCCCUGGCCUUGCUCAGGGGGUUAAGGAUCCGGCAUUGCCGUGAGCUGUAGUGUAGGUUGCAGAUGCAGCUUGGAUCUGGCGUUGCUGUGGCCAUGGCAUAGGCCACAGCUGUAGCUCCAUCUGACCCCUAGACUGGGAAUUUCCAUGUGCCAUGGGUGCAGCCCUAAAAAUAAAAAUAAAAUUAAGAUAAACUUAGCUGUUGGGUGUUGCUGUUGGUAUCUUUCUUGUUUCCUUUCCUCUCCUUUGUUUUCCUUUCCUUUCCUUUCUUUCUACCAUCCAAAAGUCAGGAGACAUUUGCUGUCUCACCAGAAGUUUCCAGCCUAUGGCCAGGAAGAAGCACACCUACCCUCUAGAUCUCUCCAAAACAUUUUGGGAAUGUGCGAGCCAGUCAAACACCUUUCCCUGAAUUAUUUUGAAAAUAAAACCUGCAGGCGGGAGGAGAUUAUCUAGAGCGAAAAAGGAAUGUGCAAAGUGAUGGGGAAAGAAACAGAGAUUAGAAAAACAGAGUCUCCAGGAAAUACAGCCUUCUCUGCAAAACAGUGAUGUGGCAUGGAAUAAUGUGGGUUCUGAGAUAUUUUCAACUGUUUAAAAAAAGAAAUGACUGCAGCAUCAGGGAAGACCCAUUUGUCCCUUGUAAAUAUCAAUUUGCCCAGCUCCCUGUCAAAGAACCAGGGAAGAAUCACAGAUCCUGGAUGGAGAUGCAGAUCCAGAUGGAGAAGGGGGUGGGGAUGGAGCCUCUACCUGGACAAGGUGAACUGCAAGGACAGGGACAUGAGGACAGAGGUGAGCAGGAUCCAGUAAGCGAGACCCAGGUGGCGCUGCCAGAGUGUACACAGGAAUGGGUGGGGGUGGCACUAGCUCUGAAACAUUGUCUCCAUCUGCAAAAUGGGCAUAGUAGCCAUAUUUUGAUUCAAAGUAAUUAUAAUUCUCCAAAGAAACAGAACCAGUGGGAAGUAUCUACAUAGAGAAGGAGGCUUAUUAUGGAGUUGUGGCACCGUGUAAAUGAAUUCGACUAGUAACCAUGAAGUUGUGGGUUCGAUCCCUGGCCUUGCUCAGUGGAUUAAGGAUCCGGCGUUGCCAUGGGCGGUGGUGUAGGUCGCAGACACGGCUCAGAUCCCUCAUUGCUGUGGCUGUGGUGCAGGCCGGCAGCUGUGAUGGAGAGCAGGACCAGAGCAUCGGGGCUGUGAGAACAAGUGACAACUCUGGAGCUCCCUUGUGGUGCAACGGGUUAAGGAUCCGGUAUUGUCACUGGAGUGGCUCGGGUUGCUGCUGUGCUCUAGGUUCAAUCUCUGGCCCAGGAACUUCCCCCAGGUCGCAGGCAUGGCCAAAAAAAAUGAACAAAAAGAAAAAGAGACAACUAGAAAAGACGAAAUAUAGGCCUACAGAGUGAGGGAAUGAGGCAAGGUCUGGCGAGUCAGUGGGCUCUUUCUCCGAGGAGCCAUGUUGGAGACAAUCCAGCCUUGUUUCCUUUUUUUUUCUUUAAUUUUUUUUUUU
rnacentral:lncRNA from 1 species